UUUAAAGAGCACCUAUUAUGAGAUACACGUUUUUAAACAUCCUUUUGUGUGUAAGUGUGUAUUAGUACAUGCUAACGAUAUUCAAAAAGUACAUACCUCAAAGAAAACGAUGACGCGAGUUAUCGUCUCUAACGUUCGAGGACUACAAAAAACACUCGGAUUGUAGGCAACAGUUUACUUCCUGGGAUUAGUGACGUAGAGAAGACCAACAUUAUCAUAGUUCAGCCCUCUCUGCUUCGCUUGGGUACGCCCUCAAAGACGGGGGUGGAGAGCGCUGAGUCAGAAGAGAGCUAAAAUGGCGGAGGUUGGGAGUCCCUGCUUUGACCCUGUUUGCAAACUCUUGUUUCAUCAUUUAAGCGAUUAAAUCUCUCGAGUAGACGCUGUCUCUUUAGAUGCAAGGGCAAAAUAGCACUUUAUGGACUUACACAGAGGACAUCAUGUUUAAUACGGUUCCGGAAAAAUCCAGUCAGAAGUUGUUCACGGAGUUUUCACAAUAACUGCUUCUUAUGAACCGAAGCUGGAUUUGCGCGACGUUUCCUCUUGAAAGUUGGAUUACCGUGCACUUCUGGAUCACAGGCUAUUCGCAGCUGGACACAUCCUUCUACACUGUAUGCAAACAUGCAACAUCAUUACACACAGUACAAGGCAUAUGAGGAGCAAAGGAACCCAGGCAGUACAUUCGUUUCACAAUGUUUCAAUCACCAUCAUCAGUUGAUGCCUUUGCCGUCCGUAGCCUGAGAGAUUUCAGAUUUGCAGCAAAAAAUGUGACUUUCCCAUUUAUUGGAAUGCUGUGCAGGUUAUACCUUACAGCCGUCCAUUACAAUGUCACCAAGCCGUAACAAAAGCAGGAGAGGGAAAGUACAAGGCUAUGUUCCCAAAACACACAAGUGACAUACUGUAAGCAGUAAUGUUUUAUUUCAAAUACAUUCAUA